AUUGAACGCUGGCGGCAGGCCUAACACAUGCAAGUCGAGCGGAUGAAGGGAGCUUGCUCCUUGGUUCAGCGGCGGACGGGUGAGUAAUGCCUAGGAAUCUGCCUGGUAGUGGGGGGUAACGUCCGGAAACGGGCGCUAAUACCGCAUACGUCCUGAGGGAGAAAGUGGGGGAUCUUCGGACCUCACGCUAUCAGAUGAGCCUAGGUCGGAUUAGCUAGUUGGUGGGGUAAAGGCCUACCAAGGCGACGAUCCGUAACUGGUCUGAGAGGAUGAUCAGUCACACUGGAACUGAGACACGGUCCAGACUCCUACGGGAGGCAGCAGUGGGGAAUAUUGGACAAUGGGCGAAAGCCUGAUCCAGCCAUGCCGCGUGUGUGAAGAAGGUCUUCGGAUUGUAAAGCACUUUAAGUUGGGAGGAAGGGCAGUAAGUUAAUACCUUGCUGUUUUGACGUUACCAACAGAAUAAGCACCGGCUAACUUCGUG
rnacentral:rRNA from 1 species